rnacentral:rRNA from 1 species
AAUAUUGGACAAUGGGGGCAACCCUGAUCCACCCAUCCCGCGUGUGUGAGGAAGGUCUCCGGAUUGUAAAGCACUUUAAGUGGGGAGGAAGGGCUUUGGGUUAAUACCCUGAAGUUUUGACGUUACCAACAGAAUAAGCCCCGGCGAACUCUGUGCCAGCAGCCGCGGUAAUACUGAGGGUGCAAGCGUUAAUCGGAAUUACGGGGCGUAAAGAGGGGGUAGGUGGUUCAGUAAGAUGGGUGUGAAAUCCCCGGGCUUAACCUGGGAACUGCUUUCAUAACUGCUGAGCUAGAGUACGGUAGAGGGUAGUGGAAUUUCCUGUGUAGCGGUGAAAUGCGUAGAUAUAGGAAGGAACACCAGUGGCGAAGGCGACUACCUGGACUGAUACUGACACUGAGGUGCGAAAGCGUGGGGAGCAAACA